rnacentral:lncRNA from 1 species
GCACCAGAAUACAAUACAAUUUUAAUUUUUAAUUUUUCAAUUUCCCCCAACUUCACCCGUAUUCUUGUCUUAUUUUGAAUUAUGUGCUUUGUUAUAAUGGCAUUUGUUUUCUUUAUUGACAUAUUUGUUCGUUUUUAUAGUGAUAAAGAUUAUAACACAUAUUUAUACCUUGGACAACAAGGACGGCAUUGACUGUUAUGCUUUGAUGUGAACACUUUGGGACGCGUUCAACUCUGAAAUAUCGUAAACGGUAUACAAUUUUUGUUUCUU